CCUACGGGAGGCAGCAGUGAGGAAUAUUGGUCAAUGGACGAGAGUCUGAACCAGCCAAGUAGCGUGACGGAUGACUGCCCUAUGGGUUGUAAACUUCUUUUAUAUGGGAAUAAAACGUUCCACGUGUGGGAUUUUGUAUGUACCAUAUGAAUAAGGAUCGGCUAACUCCGUGACAGCAGCCGCGGUAAUACGGAGGAUCCGAGCGUUGUCCGGAUUUAUUGGGUUUAAAGGGAGCGUAGGUGGAUUGUUAAGUCAGUUGUGAAAGUUUGCGGCUCAACCGUAGAAUUGCAGUUGAAACUGGAAGUCUUGAGUACAGUAGAGGUGGGCGGAAUUCGUGGUGUAGCGGUGAAAUGCUUAGAUAUCACGAAGAACUCCGAUUGCGAAGGCAGGUGACUGGACUGCAACUGACACUGAGGCUCGAAAGUGUGGGUAUCAAACAGGAUUAGAUACCCUUGUAGUC
rnacentral:rRNA from 1 species